CCCUAGUAACUGCGAGUGAAGCGGGAUGAGCUCAAAUUUAAAAUCUGGCGGUUCUGCCGUCCGAGUUGUAAUCUGGAGAAGCGUUUUCCGCGUCGGACCGUGUACAAGUCUCUUGGAAUAGAGCGUCAUAGAGGGUGAGAAUCCCGUCCAUGACACGGACUCCCGAUGCUAUGUGAUACGCUCUCAAAGAGUCGAGUUGUUUGGGAAUGCAGCUCAAAUGGGUGGUAAAUUCCAUCUAAAGCUAAAUAUUGGCGAGAGACCGAUAGCGAACAAGUACCGUGAGGGAAAGAUGAAAAGCACUUUGGAAAGAGAGUUAAACAGUACGUGAAAUUGUUGAAAGGGAAACGCUUGAAGUCAGUCGCGUCGUACGGAGCUCAGCCUUGCUUCUGCUUGGUGUAUUCUCUGCUCGACGGGUCAACAUCGAUUUCGGCCGGUGGAAAAGGGCUCGAGGAAUGUAGCGUUGUUUCGGYGACGUGUUAUAGCCUCGGGGUCGUAUGCAUCGGCUGGGAUUGAGGACCGCAGCACGCCUUUUUUGGCCGGGGUUCGCCCACGUUCGUGCUUAGGAUGUUGGCAAAAUGGCUUUAAGCGACCCGUCUUGAAACACGGACCAAGGAGUCUAACAUGCCUGCGAGUGUUCGGGUGGAAAACCCUUGCGCGUAAUGAAAGUGAAAGUUGGGAUCCCUCGCAAGGGGGUGCACUGACGCCCGGCCCAGACGUUCUCUGACGGUGCCGCGGUAGAGCAUGUAUGUUGGGACCCGAAAGAUGGUGAACUAUGCCUGAAUAGGGUGAAGCCAGAGGAAACUCUGGUGGAGGCUCGUAGCGAUUCUGACGUGCAAAUCGAUCGUCAAAUUUGGGUAUAGGGGCGA
rnacentral:rRNA from 1 species